rnacentral:rRNA from 1 species
UACGAAGGGGGCUAGCGUUGCUCGGAAUCACUGGGCGUAAAGCGCACGUAGGCGGCUUUUUAAGUCAGAGGUGAAAUCCUGGAGCUCAACUCCAGAACUGCCUUUGAUACUGGAGAGCUUGAGUCCGGGAGAGGUGAGUGGAACUGCGAGUGUAGAGGUGAAAUUCGUAGUUAUUCGCAAGAACACCAGUGGCGAAGGCGGCUCACUGGCCCGGUACUGACGCUGAGGUGCGAAAGCGUGGGGAGCAAACAGG